UUAGGUUAGGAGUUGAUUAACUUUGAUUAACCUAAGUUAAUUCCAUAAGACCUAUGUAUACAAGCUCCUAGGUCAUUAAGUCACUGUUCCUGAUCCCUUCUCACUCUCUGCUCGCCCGAAGUCGCGCCGCUGAAGUCAAAGGCAUGCCUCGCUGCGGUUGAGCUCAGGCCGAGCGUCGCCCGCAACCCGUUCUGUGGAGGACGUUUGGAUCAGGCGAAGGACACCCUCGACGCAGCAAUAGGGGGCGAGGUUUCCCGCGGGGGAGCAAAGAAGGACAGGCAAGUACUUCUAUUAUGUGGGCAUGGCUUCUAUGAGGUGAGGAUGCCUUCCUGGACACCACGGAAGACAUGCGGACGGAGUAGACGAGGAGGCGGGAUGGACGCAUGGCGCUGUCCGGACAUUAGGAGUGCGGAGCUUACUUCUUUCUGGGGUUCUUGGGAGAUAUUGAGGAUGUAUUGUUCUUUUUGUUAGACUCAUAUGUGAGAUGUUGUUCUCUAUCUUCUAUAAAAUGAGACU